GUUUCAUGGAGAAGGUUUCAUGGAGAAGGUUUAAUGGAGAAGGUUUCAUGGAGAAGGUUUCAUGGAGAAGGUUUCAUGGAGAAGGUUUAAUGGAGAAGGUUUCAUGGAGAAGGUUUCAUGGAGAAGGUUUCAUGGAGAAGGUUUAAUGAAGAAGGUUUCAUGGAGAAGGUUUCAUGGAGAAGGUUUCAUGGAGAAGGUUUCAUGGAGAAGGUUUUUGGGACUGCCCUUCGAACUACCAUUAGCAUCAUCGUUAAUGGUUACAUAAAGUGCACAGACAGGAGCUUUUGCCUCUUCAAUAAGUUGUCUUGUGAUAAACUCGGGCAAAUAAAUAUA